rnacentral:lncRNA from 1 species
GGCCAGCAAAGCAGAGCAGGAAGAACUGAGCAGGGGAAUGUCGAGAGAAGAAACAAUCUGGAUGUUCUUCUCUAGGCACUAAUUACAAAAACCUACCUUCUCACGGGCUGUUUUCUGGUAGAUUUUCUGCUUCUAUUAAUUUUUUAAAACAAAUUAAUUCAUUUGGUUUGGUUAGUCAUGGAAAGAGGAUUUCCUGAACAACACUGGCACAGUGAAGACACCCUCCUCUGUCCUGGAUUUUUUUCCGAGAGGCCGUGCCCAUGCAUGUGCUUCUGCAGCUAAAGAGUCCUAUAAUGGCCAGUAGUUGACCCCAUCUCUGGACCUGAGAAUCACCAUGGUUGGUAUGAAAAAGUGGUUUGGAAUGAAAAAAGGAUUGGUGAAAAAUAGCAAUCAUUUUCCUUGUUGAGUUGUUACAAGAACAGGCAGAGGCAAACCAUCCCUGGCAUGUCCACCCUAACCCCUGUAUCCUGGGUUUAGUCCCUCCCUCUGCUCCCCCUGACCUCUGCAAUGAAGCUCCGAAUGCCCUGUUCUGGGACACCCUCUUUUAAAUCCCAAGAACUGUGCCAUUAGGGAAGAAUGCAGAAAGGCAUCUCCAGGUCGAUCUGGAUUGGAUCAAAGGAGGAGGGUACAGAGCUCUUCUGAUCAGGACCGAUUCAGUUUCCUGAUCUGCCAAAUGGACACAUACUCUGGUUAAUGUCUACUGUCUCUUCCAACACCCCGGAUCUAUGAUUUUAUAUAUUUCCUCUGUAAGUAUUCCUUAACUAUGUUAACAAAUAUUAGUUUUUUCCAAUUGAAUACUUAUUUUAAUCAUUUAUGGUACCACUCACACAAAGUAUAUGUACUGGGGACAUUGGUAUGCUGAUAAACGUGGCUUUUUUAGAAGGGGGAAAAAUGCCCUAAAUGGUAAUGUUUACAGAUUUUCAUGGUGUGAAUAGUUCCAUGGCCAGUAUCAAGCUAUGGCCCUACUGUCAUUGAACAGGGAAUUGGAAAGACAAUUGGCUCCCUGGGCCAGCUCAGCCUGGCUCUAACACUACUAGUUGGGUGCCAUCAAGCAAUAUAAAGAGGAGCUGAAAUCUGUUUCAAUUCCUGCAUUUGGGUUUUCUUUUUUCUUCUCUUUGUAUUUGUAACAGAAGGACCCAUGCUGACAAUAGACAGACACAUAUUCUGAAACAACUUCCAAAGAUAGGGAAUUACUGCAAACCAAGAAGGACCGGUCAUCUGUUUCUUGAAUGCACUGGUUAAAGAAUAAUGGAGAUAGUCAGACCUUCCAUCAAGUCUCUGCAUCACCAUAAGCCACUCGACCACCUAAUUACCUGAGCACAUGUGCUAGGGUAGCAGCCCCAUUUCCACCAAAUGCUUAUUGAGCUGUUUACCAGGAACCCUGCUCAGCCUACAGCCCAUGACAAAUAUUCAAUAAAUGUUAAUCAAAUAUGAAUGUAAUUUUCAACAGGAUCCAGAAUGCCUGCCAUUAAGAUACUCUAUGGUUUCUGUUCUGACAAAGUCAAGCAGAUCCAGCAGAUCAUGGGUCCAUUAAGUGGGGAAGGAAAGUAAGAUAAACACCAUCCUCUCUAAGGAGCCAGACUCAUUCUGCCUAUGCUCUAGGGCAAGACCAAAUUUACCAACAGCAGGGGCUUCUGGGAAGGCUAUGAGCACUUUCUUCAGGGAGAGUAACUCUAGUUAUUAAAAACCACAUUCGGAAACAUCGUCCUCUCUGCUGACAGGGCCUUGUGCGAGGUGACCCCGGAGACUCCACAAGAGUGGACUCCACAAGAGCUCAUCAUGGUGAUAGAAUCCAGUUUCCUCAUCUUUAAAAUAAAGAUGCCCAUGCCCGUUUUGCUGACUUUUUUUGUGCAGAUUAAAUGAAAUGACGUCUGCAGAGGGCCCUGUGCUGUGCUUGGCAUGUGGAAUUGAGUGGAGAGUCUGAGAUGAUUAUUGUGUUUGUAUAAUAUAUGUACAUUAUAUUGUUCAUUAUAUUAUAUAUUAUAUUUCCUUAUUCUUUUGGUUUCAGCCUCCCCCAUCCCACUUUUCUGCCUCCUCACUCCUUCAUUUGACUGGCUGCUUGUCAAAACACAUCUGUAAGCUCUUUGAAAAGCACCACUCUGCCUUCCCCUCUCCAGGGAGUCUGGGAAUUGUUCUGUGCUGUGAAUUCAAGCAGCUUAACCUGGAGACAAUCCAUAAACUCUCCCUUAGCUGGUAAGAUGUGCUCAAGGGACACGAUUGUAGUAUUUUGGCCUUGUCGGCUGUGGAAAGGUGGCCCUCUCAAGAUGCCCAAGAUCUAAUCCCAAGGAUCUAGGACUAGGUCACUUUAAAUGGCAAAGGGGACUUUAUCCAUGUGAUUGAAUGGAGAAUCCUUAGAUAGAGAGGUUAUUGAGAUUAUCCCUAGAUGAUCCUGGGUUAUCGGUGAGUCCACGGCAAUCAAUACGGUCCAAAGAGGGACAGGGAGGAGAAUCGGAAUCAGAGACGGGAAUGUGAAGAGGGAGGCAGAGGUUGGAGUAGGAGUAACGUAGCCACGAGCCACGGAACACCUGCACCUCUGCACAUAGAGAGUACCUGGAGUUAAUCCAGUGCAUCAGAUAAGAUUUGGACUUCUGAGUUGCAAAACUAUAACAAAUUACUUAAAGCCACUAAGUAUGGGAUAAUUUGCAAACCAUUACAAAGGCCAAUCAUGAAAACUGGGUUGUGAGUCCCAAAAAGGAGAAAUUCUUUCUCUCUAAACCCUAUGUGUAAGAAAGAAAGAUAACAGUCUCCCUGGCCUGUGACUGUGUCACUUUCUCAGAUAAGAUUUUGUUUUAUGUGUGUGUGUGUGUGUGUGUGUGUUGUGUUUAGAAAAGUUCAGAGCAAUCACAUUUAAUCAGGAAGGUUAAAUGAAGAGUUUUUCAAAUAAAUACUGGAGAAGAAUUGGAAAACAAUGACCUCAACUGAAUUAUGGCCUAAAUCUUCCAAGAAGGAAUGAAAGCUCCAGCUUAGAAUGCAG